AAGUCGUAACAAGGUUUCCGUAGGUGAACCUGCGGAAGGAUCAUUAAAGAAAUGUUCAAGUGGUUAUUCUAACAGGAGAGUUUGUUAUGCUUCUGUCUGUGCUGUGAGCCUGCGCUUAAUUGCGCGGCCCAGUGUGGAUUAGAAGGUGACAAGUUAAUGCUUGACUGUUUGGAAGACUGCUACUUUACACACUGUGGAGUUUUUCUUCUACAAUUCUUUCCUUUGGGGGUGCAAGCUCCCAGAGGUGACAAACACAAACAAUUUUGUAAUAUUCAUAAACUAGUCAAAACCAAUUUCGUAUUGAAAUUAAAAAUAUUUAAAACUUUCAACAACGGAUCUCUUGGUUCUC
rnacentral:misc_RNA from 1 species